CCCCCUGCGGUUGUUGAACCGGCUGCUCCCUCCCAACAAUGUUUUCCUCCUCUAAGGAGGGAAGCGAGGGUACAGAAGGGACGGAUGGGAUAGGGGUCCAAGCCUCCGGAACCGGCGGGAAGGAGCCCGAGGGGGAUGGAGUGGGUAAGGCAUUAGAGGGGCCGGCAUUUUCCUCUGUUUCUGAUGAUAAGUUGAGGUACUGUCGCCAACUACCCGAGUCAGCUUCAGA
rnacentral:lncRNA from 1 species